AACGAACGCUGGCGGCAUGCCUAACACAUGCAAGUCGAACGACACCUUCGGGUCUCGUGGCGCACGGGUGCGUAACGCGUGGGAACCUGCCCUUAGGUUCGCAACAACCCCCCGAAAGGAGUGCUAAUCCCGGAUAAACUCUCCGGAACAACGUAUUCUCGCCAUUGGAUGGGACCGGGUGAGGUUAGCUAUUUGGUAGGGUAAAGGCAUACCAACGCGACGCUCCAUAGCUGGUCUGAGAGGAUGAUCAGCCACCCUGGGACUGAGACACGGCCCAGUGUCCUACGGGAGGCAGCAGUGGGGAAUAUUGGACAAUGGGCGAGAGCCUGAUCCAGCAAUGCCGCGUGAGUGAAGAAGGCCUUAGGGUUGUAAAGCUCUUUUACCCGGGAUGAUAAUGACAGUACCGGGAGAAUAAGCUCCGGCUAACUCCGUG
rnacentral:rRNA from 1 species